rnacentral:rRNA from 1 species
CGAAAGGGUUGCAGUGAAAAGGUGGCUGCGACUGUUUAUUAAAAACACAGCACUCUGCAAACACGAAAGUGGACGUAUAGGGUGUGACGCCUGCCCGGUGCUGGAAGAUUAAAUGAUGGGGUGCAAGCUCUUGACUGAAGUCCCAGUAAACGGCGGCCGUAACUAUAACGGUCCUAAGGUAGCGAAAUUCCUUGUCGGGUAAGUUCCGACCCGCACGAAUGGCGUAACGAUGGCCACACUGUCUCCUCCUGAGACUCAGCGAAGUUGAAAUGUUUGUGAAGAUGCAAUCUCCCCGCUGCUAGACGGAAAGACCCCGUGAACCUUUACUGUAGCUUUGCAUUGGACUUUGAACAGACUUGUGUAGGAUAGGUGGGAGGCUUUGAAGUGGGAACGCCAGUUCUCAUGGAGCCGUCCUUGAAAUACCACCCUGGUGUGUUUGAGGUUCUAACCUGGGUCCGUCAUCCGGAUCGGGGACCGUGCAUGGUAGGCAGUUUGACUGGGG